rnacentral:tRNA from 1 species
GACUGGGUGGCUCAGUUGGUUGAGCGUCUGACUUUGGCUCAGGUCAUGAUCUCACGGUUCGUGAGUUCGAGUCCCACGUCGGGCU